rnacentral:rRNA from 1 species
AGGGUUUGAUUCUGGCUCAGGAUGAACGCUGGCGGCGUGCCUAACACAUGCAAGUCGAGCGAUCUCUUCGGAGAGAGCGGCGGACGGGUGAGUAACGCGUGGGUAACCUGCCCUGUACACACGGAUAACAUACCGAAAGGUAUGCUAAUACGGGAUAAUAUAUAAGAGUCGCAUGACUUUUAUAUCAAAGAUUUUUCGGUACAGGAUGGACCCGCGUCUGAUUAGCUUGUUGGCGGGGUAACGGCCCACCAAGGCGACGAUCAGUAGCCGACCUGAGAGGGUGAUCGGCCACAUUGGAACUGAGACACGGUCCAA